AGCUCCCCCCCUUCCUCUCUCUUACAGGAGGGAGAGGAAGGGGGAAGGGGCGUCCAUUGGAAGAGCCUCUGGGGAAAAAUAAGUGGCGGCCGCGGCAGGUGCUGGAGCACGAGCGGCAGCCUUUGUCCGCCUGCAGCCAAUCAGCGUCCUAGAACGGGUUUUGUCUCCGUUACGUAGUGGUUAGAGCGUCCCCCUUCAGAGUUUAGUGUUUAGGGUUCUGGUCCCGCUUUUGGCUGGUACGUUGCCAGUCUUCUUCCCAUGGUGCUGAAAUCCAGAGGCUUUUAAUUAAUUAGACAUUCGGCCAAAUGAAUAUCAUGUUGCAGAAGAAGAAAAAAUAUUCAUUUAUUUUUAAUCAAAUUGAUACAGCUUUCCAGCAGCUUCAGGAACUGGCAGCGACUAACCAGAAGAUGAUCUUGGGGUGAUGGCUCAAUGGAAAUAUCAACUCAAGUUUGCAGUACUGAUGAAGAGAAAUUUUAUGCCAGAUGGGACACAUGCAGUGUUUUUUGCCAAAUGUAUGUCCGAUUGGACACAUGCUGCCUUUGAAGACUACUUGGAAACUUCUGUUGGUCCAUAGUGGUGUAGGCCUGAACCAGACCGAAGCCAUGUUACCUUUGAUAUAUUCUGUCUGUGUAAGGGGGGCCUAGGGGAUUCCUUAUAAGGAGUUGCUUUUCUGUGCCAAGGAGGGCCAGGAGAGACUAGAUAAGAAGGUUAUGAGGUAUUCACCUAAAAGAAUACAUGCGCAGAAGUUAGCUGGAAAUUUACAGAAAGUCCAGACAAAGGAAAAGGGGCAGUACCUACGUAUCAUGUUCUAGGUUAUAAAUAUGUCAUGCUUGUAAAUGAACGGGGUCUUGGACUUGAGCGAGAGCUAUCCAGGACCUUUGCUACUAUAGAGCAAAAUAAAGCCUUUUACAUCCUUC